rnacentral:rRNA from 1 species
CCCUUAGAUGUCCUGGGCCGCACGCGCGCUACAAUAAUACGCACAGCGAGUAUCACCGAGCUCGAAAGGGCAAGGUAAACAAUAGAAAAGGUACUGUAAUGGUUAUAGAUCCUUGUAAUUAUUGAUCUUCAACGAGGAAUUCCUAGUAAGUAUGUGUCAUCAUCACGCACUGAUUACGUCCCUGCCCUUUGUACACACCGCCCGUCGCUCCUACCGAUUGGGUGAGCCGAUGAAACUCUCGGAUGUAGGCUAUUCAUAGCCCGCAGAAGAGAUUUGAAUCGUAGCGCUUAGAGGAAGGAGAAGUCGUAACA